CUUGAUGGAGCCGAGCAGCAGCGGCUGGUCGCCCGGCCGGUCCUGGCCGUAGGUGGCGAGCAGGGCCUGCGCCUC
rnacentral:antisense_RNA from 1 species